rnacentral:rRNA from 1 species
UACGUAGGGCAGCGAGCGUUGCUCGGAAAUGACUGGGCGUAAAGGGCGCGUAGGCGGCUCAUACAGUCAGAUGUGAAAUUCCUGGGCUUAACCUGGGGGCUGCAUUUGAUACGUGUGGGCUUGGGUGGGGAAGAGGGUCGUGGAAUUCCCAGUGUAGAGGUGAAAUUCGUAGAUAUUGGGAAGAACACCGGUGGCGAAGGCGGCGACCUGGUCCUUGACUGACGCUGAGGCGCGAAAGCGUGGGGAGCAAACAGG